CUGGCGGCGUGACUUCAAACAUGCAAGUCGAACGGAGUUAAUUUUGAAGCUUGCUUUAGAAUUAACUUAGUGGCGGACUGGUGAGUAACGCGUGAGUAAUCUGCCUAUCACAGGGGGAUAACAGAGGGAAACUUCUGCUAAUACCGCAUAAGACCACAGGAUGGCAUCAUCAAGGGGUCAAAGGUUAGAUCUGGUGAUAGAUGAGCUUGCGUAUCAUUAGCUAGUUGGUGAGGGUAAAGGCCCACCAAGGCGACGAUGAUUAGCCGAUCUGAGAGGAUGACCGGCCACACUGGGACUGAGAUACGGUCCAAACUCCUACGGGAGGCAGCAGUGGGGAAUAUUGCACAAUGGGCGAAAGCCUGAUGCAGCAACGCCGCGUGAAGGAAGAAGGCUUUCGGGUCGUAAACUUCUGUCCUAGGGGAAGAUAAUGACGCAACCCUUGGAGGAAGCCCCGGCUAACUACGUGCC
rnacentral:rRNA from 1 species